AGCGAACGCUGGCGGCAGGCUUAACACAUGCAAGUCGAGCGGGCGUAGCAAUACGUCAGCGGCAGACGGGUGAGUAACGCGUGGGAACGUACCUUUUGGUUCGGAACAACUGAGGGAAACUUCAGCUAAUACCGGAUAAGCCCUUACGGGGAAAGAUUUAUCGCCGAAAGAUCGGCCCGCGUCUGAUUAGCUAGUUGGUGAGGUAACGGCUCACCAAGGCGACGAUCAGUAGCUGGUCUGAGAGGAUGAUCAGCCACAUUGGGACUGAGACACGGCCCAAAUUCCUACGGGAGGCAGCAGUGGGGAAUAUUGGACAAUGGGCGCAAGCCUGAUCCAGCCAUGCCGCGUGAGUGAUGAAGGCCCUAGGGUUGUAAAGCUCUUUUGUGCGGGAAGAUAAUGACGGUACCGCAAGAAUAAGCCCCGGCUAACUUCGUGCCAGCAGCCGCGGUAAUACGAAGGGGGCUAGCGUUGCUCGGAAUCACUGGGCGUAAAGGGUGCGUAGGCGGGUCUUUAAGUCAGGGGUGAAAUCCUGGAGCUCAACUCCAGAACUGCCUUUGAUACUGAGGAUCUUGAGUUCGGGAGAGGUGAGUGGAACUGCGAGUGUAGAGGUGAAAUUCGUAGAUAUUCGCAAGAACACCAGUGGCGAAGGCGGCUCACUGGCCCGAUACUGACGCUGAGGCACGAAAGCGUGGGGAGCAAACAGG
rnacentral:rRNA from 1 species